rnacentral:lncRNA from 12 species
GACGAAAAGAAUUUGUUGAAUAAAGUCAUUAUUUUUGUUUUGUUUGUGCACCAAAAGGAUAUAUUCUCGUAGAUUCGUAAAAUUACGGUUGAUCCACUGAUGUCACAUGGACUAUUUUAACGAUGUCCUUUUUCGGGACCUUGAACGUGGUAGUUCAUUUUUUUAAACGAUUUUUAUUAUACUAACACAGAUGCUGUUAUAUUAAAACAACAAUUAAACCAUCCAUGUUUUAAUAAAAGUAAUCACUUUCCUCAGAUUUAAGGAUUCAUACAUGAUGAAUGCGCAACUGCAGUAACCCACAGCUGCCAAAUCUCUGAACAACCCCCCACACGAUAGGUGCUGAAGAAAAACUGUUAAUACACAGCUUUCGUUUUGGAGCUUUGAUGCAGUGGUGCAAACAGGAAAUAAAACGCGCAAAUCGUGUGAAACUGCACAUAUUUAAUUGAGACCCUUUAUUUUUUCCAUAUUUGUAGGAAGGGCACUAAAACAUCAGUCAGUAAGGUUUUUAGAACUUUAUGAAUGAAAGCCUUUUUUAUGGUCACCGUUGUGACUGGUGGGAUUAAAUGGGUUAAUAGUUAUUUUUCUUCAGAAGUACAGGAAGCCGCAAUUUCCCAAAAUAUGCUUCAGUUUGAUGAAAUAAGCUUCCUGAUAGUUCAUGUAUCUUUUCAGAAUAAACGUGAAACCACAAGGUGGCGCACUUUGUUUGUUGAAAACAGGGGUAAAGUUCUUGUCUCUCCUCCCCUACAAACCUACAACUCACCUCCCAUUUGCUGACUGCCUUCAUCAGUACAGACAAGCCUGCACCAGAAGUACAUCUCAGCAGAGCACAAGGCAAAGGAAAUUUAAAUCAAAAUCCAAUAAUCUGAACAAUGGAUCCCAGCCAGUCUUUUAAUCAGCCUCCAGGGGCCUGGAAUUCAUCUGAAAAAUCAGCGAUGUUGUAUCCUUCAGCACCACCACCAUACCAGGCCAAUCCUGCUGGAUAUCCUCCCUCCUUUCCAAGCCAGCCAUUCCCCCAAGGCCCCUAUGCCCAGGGGCCGUAUCCAGGACAGCCUGUGGUUGCUGUACAGCCUACAGUUUUUGUGACCGCCGCUCCACUGGCUAGUCAAGUGCCAGAUUACUUGGGUUACUCUAUUUUUACCAUGCUGUGCUGCUUUUGGCCUCUGGGUAUUGCUGCACUUAUUUUCUCCUGCUCUACUCGAAAUGCCAACUUCUCAGGACAGCGAGAAUUAGCAGAGAAGAACUCCAAAACGGCGCUCAACCUGAAUCAUGCUGCCCUUGGUACUGGCCUUAUAAUCAUUGUACUGCUCAUUAUUGUCAAUAUUGUGUUUUGAGUUGACAAAAUUCUCUGCAUUGUAAACGCUGUUUGCUCAACGUGUCAUUAUAGCCUACUUACAACAAAUGCUUUAAGGCAGAUUAUUGUAUGUUUAGACUUUUUUGUGCAUCUGUGCUGAUUUGAGCUUUUUUACAUAAUGUUUUAUUAUGUAAGUACAUGUACUGACAUAAAAUAUAUUCACUGACUAUAUCUUUCAAAUGACUGUACAUGAAUUAUUUUCUUACUCAAACACAACCACUAUUAAAACUCUUUAUGUACACAUAAUUUUGUCAGAACUGUUAAACUUAAGUUCAGAACCUCAAACAAACAAAUGGCUAAAUAUCUAUGCAUUUGCACAGUAAUAAAAAAUGAAAUACUUUCAAAAUAUGUCUGUGUUUUUUUUUUUUUUUUUUCAGUUUUAUAACCAUCAAUACAAAAGGUCAAAACUUUGGAAUAACGUUGGAAUAACUUAAACCAGCUAAGACUAGUCAACCAGCCUAAGCUGUUUUUAGCUGGGUUUUUACUAAAACAACUGGGUUUAGCUGGUUUUAACUGUAUUAGUAUAGAAACAUGCAAACAACAUGCUAGUAACUUACUAAUCAUGCUAUAAACAUGCUAGUAACAUGCUAAUCAUGCCAGAAACAAGCUUGCAAAUAUGCUAGUAACAUGCUAAUCAUGCUAGAAACAUGCUUGCAACAUGCUAGUAACUUGCUAAUCAUGCUAGAAACAAGCUAGCAAACAUGCUAGUAACUUGGUAAUCAUGCUAGAAACAUGAUAGCAAAAUGCUAGUAGCUGGCUAAUAAUGCUAGUAACAUGCUUAUCAUGCUAGCAACAUGCUAUUAACAUGCUCAUCAUACUAGAAACAUGCUAGUAACUUGCUAGUAACUUGCAAUAUGCUGUUAACAAGUUAAUCAUGUUAUCAACAUGCUAAUCAUGCUAGAAUCAUGCUAACAAAAUGCUAGUAACAUGAUAACCAUGAUAGCAACAUGGUAGUAACUUGCUAAUCAUGUUAGAAACAUGCUAGUAUAAUGCUAGCAAACAUUCUAAAAAUCCUAGAAUCAUUCUGGUAACAUGCUAAUCAUGCUAGAAUCAUGCUAUCAACAUGCUAGUAACUUGUUAAUCAUGUUACCAACAUGCUAUUAACAUGCUCAUCAUACUAGAAACAUGCUAGCAACAUGCUAGUAACAUGCUAAUCAUGCUAGAAAGUGCUAGUAAUGUGCUACCCAUGGUAACACCAUGCUAGUUACAUGCUAUUAACUUGCUAAUCAUGUUAACAGCAUGCUAGUAACUUCCUAAUCAUACUAAAAACAUGCUAGAAACUUGAUAAACAUGUUAGAAACACGCUAUUAUUAUGCUAGUCACAGCUAAUCAUGCUAAAAUCAUGAUAGUAACAUGCUAAUCAUGCUAGAAUCAUGCUAGCAACAUGCUAGUAACUUGCUAAUCAUGUUGAAAACAUGCUAGUAACUUGCUAAUCAUGCUUACAACAUGCUAGUAACAUGCUAGUAACUUGCUACCCGUGCUAACAAAAUCACUUUGUGAUCUGCUCUCUCCUUUUGUCGUGUCUUCCGGUCUGUCACUCUGUAAUGAGGAUCAGGUGGGGCAUAGGAGUUUUGAUUCAGGAUGCAGUUAUCCCCCCUCUGCCUUUCAUGGCAUUUUUUUUUUUUUCAUUGCUGCAUUGUUGCUCAGUCUUUCUCCAUGCCCCAAAAGUAUCGGGUGUCUCUUACAGGGGGUGGAGCUGCACAUUCAUUAUUUUUCUUCUGGUCACAGCCAUAAUGUCUCUUUCUUCUCAUUGUACUUUCCAGUCACCCACUGCCUUGUAUUGGCAGUCAUCCCAGAAGCCAUCUGGUUUCAUUUAUGAAAUUAGCCAAUUCUGACCACAUGCAUAUAAGCAAUAUGUGUUAUUUUCAGUCAUCUCGUGUAACUGUCCAAAAUUUAAGGAAUCUCAUCUGGUUGACAAUAGCAGUUCCUUAUUUAAUUUCAAUAAAAGCAAGGUCUUCUUUGCAGAAAAAAAGAGCAAGCAAUUUCUGUUUGUUGUGAGCACAUCAUAAUUCUAUAAUCCUCUUAAUCACAUCAACAUGACGUAUUGUAUUUUAACAGACUUGAAUCUAGUUAUAAUGCAUACAAUUAUAUAACCAUAGUCAAGAAAAAAAAUUAUUUUCUUCUUUUAUUAUAAGCAGCUCAAAACUUCUGUUUAAAUAGUCACUCAAUCUUGUUCUCAUUCAUCACAAUGCACAAGUUAUUUUAGUUAACACAAACUAAAGUCUCAAACUCUGCAAUGUGUCACAUUUCAAGCUGCUCUCCAGGGAUAACGGAUACAACCUUCAUAAAUCUUAAGAUAACAAGAUGUAAUACAAGCUGUAUCUUUGCAGACAUCUAGCAUUAUAUUAUUUAUUAAUUUAAUCAAUACAAUUUUGUAGUGGCUCCCACAUUUCAUUUAAAGUAUUGCUUUUAACUUUUCUGAGCCAAUACGCAACUCAAAUCAUAAAAAUCUCUUCAGCCAUAUUAUCUAAAUGCAGUUACAUUGUCAUCCAUCUAAUCCUAAUUUUGGCUUUGUUGGUGACUGACAAUGUUUUACCAUGCUGUGCUGCUGUAUGCCUCGGAUCAGCUGCCCUUUUUUACUCCCUCACAGUAAGUAUUAGUUCAUAUACCUGUCUUAUACACUUCAUUUAACAUAUACUGUACCUGUCUUUUGUAUAUACAGUAUAUUUAUAGAGCAUUCCGAAAGUAUUCAGACCCUCUUCACAUUUUCAGUUUUGUUAUGUUGCAAUCUGAUAUUACAAUUAUUUAAAUUCAUUUUUUUUUCUAUUAAUCUACACUCGGUACAUCAUAAUGACAAAGUGAAAACAGAAUUUUAGAAAUGUCUGUACAUAAAUUAAAAAGAAAAAACUGAAAUAACACAUUUACAUAAGUACUCAGUACUUAGUUGAAGCACCUUUGCAGCAAUUACAGCCUCGAGUCUUUUUGGGUAUGACUCAACAAGCGUUGCAUCACUAGCCCUCACUCACAACUCUCUGAAGACUCGUUCACCCUGCCAGUGUCUCGCAGUGAUCAUUUUCAUACCAGGGACGCUAAACAUUCUUGCAAACGGUCUAAACUGAAUUACACAUGUCAUGCAGGUAUUUUCACGUGAGGAGUUUAACUGGAAAUUAGUCAUUCAGAGAACAAAUUUUAUUUUUGAACAUGAGAAAUUUACAGAAAUCUGGACCUCGGUGGCCUGAAGCUUAUUAAAAGUACAAUUAUGUACUCUGACUGCUGUCAGAACUGAUUUUGUACCUUUAAAUUAAAACAAAGGUCCACAGUUUUCAUCUUAAGGACCAUUUUCUGUACCUUGCAACCUUUUGUGCCAAAUGCACCUUUAGGUACAGAAACAAUACCCCUAUUUUUCUGUCUGUACAGGCCACACAUACUUAAAAAAAAAAAUGUUAAACGUAAGUUCAAAACAUAAAUUAUUCAAGCUAUCAAUCAAUCAGCAAUUUGCUACAUUUCUAAAGAAAUACUUUCCAAAUAUAAAAACAACAACAUACUUUAAAACAGAUGUAGCUGAACACCUUCAUAGUCUUUCAGUUUUAUCAUCUAUACAAAAUGUAACAACUUCAUUAAUUUUAUAGUGAAUAAUUUUGUACUGUAAUGUAAACUUGGACCACAUAAUAUAUACUUGGGAUGAAUUCUCUAAACAGAUUGGUGUAUAAUUAGGUCAUUGACAGCAUGCUUGCUGGGUGACAACCUUUGUGUUAUGGAAGAAUGAGCAGAUGUGUAUGAAACAUAAGUAUUAUGAAAACAUCCACAUUUUUGUCCUGAGAUUGAAUUUUCCUGCGCUCCUCAAGUUGCAUGUGGCUUCCACCAGGUGGCACUUGCAGUCAUGCUGGAGAAUUUACAAAAAGUUAAAUCUAUGCCAAAAUCUUGUCACUCCUCAACUUACAAAACAACCCAACCUACCAGUCCCCUUAAGAGGAAUGUGCCCAAAUACAAUCGAUUAAUCUUCACUGACUAGAGACAGACACUGUUCAGAGCUGCAGAAAAGC